UACAGAGGGUGCAAGCGUUGUUCGGAAUUAUUGGGCGUAAAGCGCGUGUAGGCGGCUUUGCAAGUCGGGUGUGAAAUCCCUCAGCUUAACUGAGGAAGGGCGCCCGAAACUGCAGAGCUUGAGUACCGGAGAGGAUGGUGGAAUUCCCCAAGUAGAGGUGAAAUUCGUAGAUAUGGGGAGGAACACCGGUGGCGAAGGCGACCAUCUGGACGGAUACUGACGCUGAGACGCGAAAGCGCGGGGAGCAAACAGG
rnacentral:rRNA from 1 species